GAUUUUCUAAUUUUCUCAAAAACGGAUCGACCGAUUUUAAAAAAUCAAACGUCAAAAUAAAAGACUUCGAAAGACCUUUCAAAAAAGCUAGUACUCGAUACCACUUGUCAUAAAAAAAGUUUGAGGGAAUGACUCUAGGGGGCAGUGGGUGAAGUAGUUUUUUGUUAAAAAGUUGUUCCCCUUGACAAACCUUUUGACGUGUCCCGGCGUUUUUUACUUUAACCUGUGGUGGCAAGUUUUCAAAUGAAUACCCUGUAUAAAAUCAAUACCCGGGAAUUGUAACACUAUGUUCUGAUUCAUUCCUCCGAGAUUAACAAACGGCCAAAAAUAAUGCCAAGUUCAAUGGUCUCCUCCACACAACAGUCGCCAAUUUCACUUGCUGCACAUGCAUACAUGGCAGCAUCGAUACAUGGCAGCAUCGACAGAGUCGCUGCAAGGUGCAAAUUUUUUAACACAAGAAAAAUAUGUUUUAGACUUGUACGUCUUAAAAACCUGGAAGCCGACCACUCUAAUUACAAACCUCUUUCAUUGCAGACAUCUUGAGAACCGAAGGUCACAUUAGGUUCAGUUGAUACCGCCCGCGGCAUCUUGGUUAGCGUCGAGUUGUUAGCGGAGGCCCGCACACUGGCGGAAUUUGUUCUUGAAUAAAGGCAUCAUUUGAAUAUGCUAACACUAGAAUAUGCACCAAUGACCAUGCCUCCCCGAUGACAAAUAAUGAAAAGUGCCAAAACAGUGCCAUUAUAUAUUUUGAUAUGCUAUAUUCGGUGGGCGACCCAUGUAUAGAUAUUAAUUUCCCAUAUCUUCCACGUCUGAUACUGAUUUUUAAUGAGUAAAUAAAUGUACCCACUACGACUACCCAAUAGUAUAUCAGCCAAACAAAUAAUUGAACUGGAUAGCUUCCAAGUCCAACGACACAAUGAGAAAAGUUGCUUCGAUGCAAUAUAAAAUACCGGAGCUGUUCCCGACCAUUUGGAAAAUUGAUCAUACCGAUAAGAAAAAAAUGACAGUUGUUUUCGAGGGAAGCGAACGCCUUAAAGAUUUACUACGCGUAUUAUGUUCGAAGCAAUCGCAGGUUCAUUUAAAAGACAUGCAUGAAUUUUGUUGUAAAGACACCCCUCGUCAUGGGAAUAUACAAAUGUGUAUUAUAGAAAGCACGAGAUGAUUAAAAUGCCAAGCACAAAGCGCUCUUAAUUUCUGAACUAGCUGAAGUAACCAGCCCCUAUACAAGAGGG